CUACGGGUUGCUCCAGUGAGGAAUUUUGCGCAAUGGGGGAAACCCUGACGCAGCAACGCCGCGUGAGCGAAGAAGGCCUUCGGGUCGUAAAGCUCUGUCAAGUGGGAAAAAAAUUCUUUGAUCAAUAGUCAAAGGAUUUGAUGGUACCACUGGAGGAAGCACCGGCGAACUCCGUGCCAGCAGCCGCGGUAAUACGGAGGGUGCAAGCGUUGUUCGGAAUUACUGGGCGUAAAGAGCGUGUAGGCGGUUUGGCAAGUCAGAUGUGAAAGCCCUGGGCUCAACCUGGGAAGUGCAUUUGAAACUGCUUGACUAGAGUAUGGGAGAGGAGAUUGGAAUUCCUGGUGUAGAGGUGAAAUUCGUAGAUAUCAGGAGGAACACCCGUGGCGAAGGCGAUUCUCUGGACCAAUACUGACGCUGAGACGCGAAAGCGUGGGGAGCAAACAGGAUUAGAUACCCCUGUAGUC
rnacentral:rRNA from 1 species